CUACGGGGUGCUGCAGUGGGGAAUAUUGCACAAUGGAGGAAACUCUGAUGCAGCAACGCCGCGUGGAGGAUGACACUUUUCGGAGCGUAAACUCCUUUUAUAUAGGAAGAAGAUGACGGUACUAUAUGAAUAAGCGCCGGCUAACUCCGUGCCAGCAGCCGCGGUAAUACGGAGGGCGCAAGCGUUACUCGGAAUCACUGGGCGUAAAGAGCGUGUAGGCGGAUUAAAAAGUCAGAAGUGAAAUCCUAUAGCUUAACUAUAGAAUUGCUUCUGAAACUCUUAAUCUAGAAUAUGGGAGAGGUAGAUGGAAUUUCUGGUGUAGGGGUAACAUCCGUAGAGAUCAGAAGGAAUACCGAUUGCGAAGGCGAUCUACUAGAACAUUAUUGACGCUGAGACGCGAAAGCGUGGGGAGCAAACAGGAUUAGAUACCCGGGUAGUC
rnacentral:rRNA from 1 species